AGCAGUAGCCGCGGUAAUACGAGGGGGGCAAGCGUUGUUCGGAAUUAUUGGGCGUAAAGGGCGCGUAGGCGGUUUGACAAGUCUGAUGUGAAAUCUCUGGGCUCAACCCAGAGUCUGCAUCGGAAACUGUCGAGCUUGAGUAUGGGAGAGGUGAGUGGAAUUUCCGGUGUAGCGGUGAAAUGCGUAGAUAUCGGAAGGAACACCUGUGGCGAAAGCGGCUCACUGGACCAUUACUGACGCUGAGGCGCGAAAGCUAGGGGAGCAAACAGGAUUAGAUACCCGCGUAGUCCCUGUCUCUUAUAA
rnacentral:rRNA from 1 species